UACGAAGGGGGCUAGCGUUGCUCGGAAUCACUGGGCGUAAAGCGCACGUAGGCGGACUCUUAAGUCGGGGGUGAAAUCCUGGAGCUCAACUCCAGAACUGCCUUCGAUACUGGGAGUCUUGAGUUCGGGAGAAGUGAGUGGAACUGCGAGUGUAGAGGUGAAAUUCGUAGAUAUUCGCAAGAACACCAGUGGCGAAGGCGGCUCACUGGCCCGAUACUGACGCUGAGGUGCGAAAGCGUGGGGAGCAAACAGGG
rnacentral:rRNA from 1 species